rnacentral:rRNA from 1 species
GAGAAUGCCGGUGUGAGUAGCGAAAGACGGGUGAGAAUCCCGUCCACCGAUUGACUAAGGUUUCCAGAGGAAGGCUCGUCCGCUCUGGGUUAGUCGGGUCCUAAGCUGAGGCCGACAGGCGUAGGCGAUGGAUAACAGGUUGAUAUUCCUGUACCACCUAUAAUCGUUUUAAUCGAUGGGGGGACGCAGUAGGAUAGGCGAAGCGUGCGAUUGGAUUGCACGUCUAAGCAGUAAGGCUGAGUAUUAGGCAAAUCCGGUACUCGUUAAGGCUGAGCUGUGAUGGGGAGAAGACAUUGUGUCUUCGAGUCGUUGAUUUCACACUGCCGAGAAAAGCCUCUAGAUAGAAAAUAGGUGCCCGUACCGCAAACCGACACAGGUAGUCAAGAUGAGAAUUCUAAGGUGAGCGAGCGAACUCUCGUUAAGGAACUCGGCAAAAUGACCCCGUAACUUCGGGAGAAGGGGUGCUCUUUAGGGUUAACGCCCAGAAGAGCCGCAGUGAAUAGGCCCAAGCGACUGUUUAUCAAAAACACAGGUCUCUGCUAAACCGUAAGGUGAUGUAUAGGGGCUGACGCCUGCCCGGUGCUGGAAGGUUAAGAGGAGUGGUUAGCUUCUGCGAAGCUACGAAUCGAAGCCCCAGUAAACGGCGGCCGUAACUAUAACGGUCCUAAGGUAGCGAAAUUCCUUGUCGGGUAAGUUCCGACCCGCACGAAAGGCGUAACGAUUUGGGCACUGUCUCAACGAGAGACUCGGUGAAAUCAUAGUACC